GACGAACGCUGGCGGCGUGCCUAAUACAUGCAAGUCGAACGCUUUGAUUUUCACCGGAGCUUGCUCCACCGAAAAUCAAAGAGUGGCGGACGGGUGAGUAACACGUGGGCAACCUGCCCAACAGAGGGGGAUAACACUUGGAAACAGGUGCUAAUACCGCAUAAUUUGUUUUCCCGCAUGGGAGAAUAAUAAAAGACGCUUCGGUGUCACUGUUGGAUGGGCCCGCGCUGCAUUAGUUAGUUGGUGGGGUAAUGGCCUACCAAGACCGUGAUGCAUAGCCGACCUGAGAGGGUGAUCGGCCACACUGGGACUGAGACACGGCCCAGACUCCUACGGGAGGCAGCAGUAGGGAAUCUUCGGCAAUGGACGAAAGUCUGACCGAGCAACGCCGCGUGAGUGAAGAAGGUUUUCGGAUCGUAAAACUCUGUUGUUAGAGAAGAACAAGUGGGAGAGUAACUGUUCCCACCUUGACGGUAUCUAACCAGAAAGCCACGGCUAACUACGUGCCAGCAGCCGCGGUAAUACGUAGGUGGCAAGCGUUGUCCGGAUUUAUUGGGCGUAAAGCGAGCGCAGGCGGUUUCUUAAGUCUGAUGUGAAAGCCCUCGGCUCAACCGAGGAAGGUCAUUGGAAACUGGGGAACUUGAAUGCAGAAGAGGAGAGUGGAAUUCCAUGUGUAGCGGUGAAAUGCGUAGAUAUAUGGAGGAACACCAGUGGCGAAGGCGACUCUCUGGUCUGUAAUUGACGCUGAGGCUCGAAAGCGUGGGGAGCAAACAGG
rnacentral:rRNA from 1 species